UGGGGAAUAUUGCGCAAUGGGGGGAACCCUGACGCAGCAACGCCGCGUGGAGGAAGAAGGUCUUCGGAUUGUAAACUCCUGUCUUCCGGGACGAUAAUGACGGUACCGGAGGAGGAAGCCACGGCUAACUACGUGCCAGCAGCCGCGGUAAUACGUAGGUGGCGAGCGUUGUCCGGAAUUACUGGGCGUAAAGGGCGCGUAGGCGGUUUUUUAAGUUAGAUGUGAAAACCCAGGGCUUAACUUUGGGCGUGCAUUUAAAACUGGAGAGCUUGAGUGCAGGAGAGGUAAGUGGAAUUCCAUGUGAAGCGGUAAAAUGCGUAGAUAUAUGGAGGAACACCAGUGGCGAAGGCGGCUUUCUGGACGAUAACUGACGCUGAGGCGCGAAAGCGUGGGUAGCAAACAGGAUUAGAUACCCU
rnacentral:rRNA from 1 species